rnacentral:rRNA from 1 species
CGAGCCUGAUGCAGCCAUGCCGCGUGUAUGAAGAAGGCCUUCGGGUUGUAAAGUACUUUCAGCGGGGAGGAAGGUGUUGAGGUUAAUAACCUCAGCAAUUGACGUUACCCGCAGAAGAAGCACCGGCUAACUCCGUGCCAGCAGCCGCGGUAAUCA